UACGGGGGGAGCAAGCGUUGUUCGGAUUUACUGGGCGUAAAGGGUGCGCAGGCGGCUCCGCAUGUCGGGCGUGAAAUCCCCGGGCUUAACCUGGGAAUUGCGUCCGAAACUAUGGAGCUGGAGUGUGGCAGAGGGAGGUGGAAUUCCACGUGUAGCGGUGAAAUGCGUAGAGAUGUGGAGGAACACCGAUGGCGAAGGCGGCUUUCUGGACAGAAACUGACGCUGAUGCGCGAAAGCUAGGGGAGCAAACAGG
rnacentral:rRNA from 1 species